ACAAAAGGUAGGACCAGAUCAUGUGAACAAUGGUCUGGUGGUUUCAUUCGAACAAUGGGAAGCAAGGCUGUAAGGCGGAGCGAAUCCAGAAAGAUUGCCUCAGUUCGGAUUGUUCUCUGCAACUCGGGAACAAGAAGUUGAAAUCGCUAGUAAUCGCGGAUCAGCAUGCCACGGUGAAUAUGUACC
rnacentral:rRNA from 1 species